rnacentral:lncRNA from 1 species
CACCCAACAAACUUCCCCUAUUUAUUAUUUGCAAACAAUUAAUUAAAUCCAAAAUUCAGUACAAUCAGCUCAUCGGAAACUGCUCCUGAGUGGAAUUUUUUUUUUUUGUAAUUUAAAAAAAUCAGAGGCGAAUUUCAACAACUCACAGAAGAAGCUACACUAUAAUAGUAUAAUGUAUGUAUAUAUAUACCUUGGAAGAGAAGGUUUUAGUCGGGGCUGAGCGAACAUCGGAUUGCUCGUCAUCGAAAUCGUAGAGCUGCUCGCCCUCGCCAUCGGAAAAGUCUGAAUCCUCCUCUUCCUCGCUGUGGCCGCUGCUAUAGUAAUCGUCCUCCAUAAAUACUGUACUUAUUGCCUAGUUUCAUAAAAUCUGUAUAUACAUGUAAAAUCGGUGGAGAUAAUCGCCUUCGAAUUGGUCACCGUGAUCGGCUUCGGCGAUCGACGGCGGGUAAUUUCCGGGGAAAUUUUCGCCGGCAAUUGUACAGAUAGGAAGAGUUGUAGAGAGAGAGAGAAACUUAGAGAGAGAAGCUGAUAGAAAGAGGGGUCUUUUAUUGUGUGGAGUGGGG